CCAAGGAGUCUAACAUGUGCGCGAGUCACUCAGUCUUGACUAGGCUAGAGAGGCGCAAUGAAAGUAAAUUUUGUAUGUUACGAUCCUCAUGCCGGCUAUUGUGCCUUGGUGCGGUAGCGGUGAGGCGCAGUAACAGCCCGCCAGUUCCAUUUGUUAGUGGUGUGGCGGAGUUGUAGCGUACACGUUGGUACCCGAAAGAUGGUGAACUAUGCUUGGGCAAGACGAAGCCAGAGGAAACUCUGGUGGAGGUCUGUAGCGAUUCUGACGUGCAAAUCGAUCGUCAGACCUGAGUAUAGGGGCGAAAGACUAAUCGAACCAUC
rnacentral:rRNA from 1 species